rnacentral:rRNA from 1 species
UACGAAGGGGGCUAGCGUUGCUCGGAAUCACUGGGCGUAAAGGGUGCGUAGGCGGGUUUUUAAGUCAGGGGUGAAAUCCUGGAGCUCAACUCCAGAACUGCCUUUGAUACUGAAGAUCUUGAGUCCGGGAGAGGUGAGUGGAACUGCGAGUGUAGAGGUGAAAUUCGUAGAUAUUCGCAAGAACACCAGUGGCGAAGGCGGCUCACUGGCCCGGUACUGACGCUGAGGUGCGAAAGCGUGGGGAGCAACAGG